GUGCCUUUCACCUUCUACCACGGUUAUGAGGCCUCCCCAGCCACAUGGAACUACAAGCCAACCUGUGACAUGAAUGCAUCCUGGCUACCGCUAGCAACUGAGCUGGCCAAGAGGGUCUCAACUGCUCAGCAGGAUCCUCCAUCUUCCCCAGCCUGAACCCACAUCUCUGCUGGUCACCAAGGAAACCAGCCCCUCAGCCCUCAGUGCCCUCCAGGCAGAACAGGUUUGAGUACAGCCACCACCCUGUACCUGGAAUCUACUCCUCUCUGAACCUCAGAAAUUCAUCUUCUAGUCAAGCCAGACUCUGGCUUCCAUGUGGGGCUGAGAAGUCCAAGAGCAUGGUGCCAGCAUCUGGCAAGGGCAAUCCCAUGGAAGAAAGGUGGAAUGCAGAAGGGAGCAUGUGAGACAGAAAGAGAGGAAAUCAGGCUGAACUCGUCCUUUUUAUCAGGGGCUCACUCCUGAGGUGAUUAGCCCACUCCCAGGAUAAUGACCUUCACCCAUGCAUAAGGGUGGGGCCUUAUGACUUAAUCACCUCAUUAAGGCACCACUUCUCCAUACUGUCAAUUGGCCACUAAAUUUCCACAUGAAUUUUUAGGGGACAGUCAAACCAACUGUGGUAACCACUGAAGUGUUUGGAGGCGCUUAAUCUUCAGGAAGUGUAAUAAAUCUAGCUGUGGAAAAUGAUGAGGAAAGCAGAGAAAUUUUUUUCGGUUCGUAUACAUAUAAAUAUUACCUAAUAAACAAUUACCAUUGGC